AAAAUUAUCCACCUAUACCAUUAUGAAGAAUCAACAAAAAUAACCCCCCUAUACCUAUGUUUAAAUUACCCACAUAUGCCACUAUAGAAAAAAAUUAAAUCUAAACGAUCUGCCGGUCACAUCUUACAUAAUAAAUCUCUUUGCUUGAAAUAAAAUAAAAAAUCACCUAACUAUCCUGUCCUGCGGGUCACAUGUGACGCAAUUAAUCUCUUGCCCUUAAUCUCUCUCUCACAUUUAAAUCAUAAAAAAGAGUCUAUCAUGAAAGGAUCUUUAGCUAAUACAACUAACAAACAAACUAGAUACGUACGUG
rnacentral:lncRNA from 1 species